UACGGGGGGGGUAAGCGUUGUUCGGAAUUACUGGGCGUAAAGGGCUCGUAGGCGGCCAACUAAGUCGGACGUGAAAUCCCUCAGCUUAACUGGGGAACUGCGUCCGAUACUGGAGGGCUUGAAUUCGGGAGAGGGAUGCAGAAUUCCAGGUGUAGCGGUGAAAUGCGUAGAUAUCUGGAGGAACACCGGUGGCGAAGGCGGCAUCCUGGACCGGCAUUGACGCUGAGGCGCGAAAGCCAGGGGAGCAAACGGG
rnacentral:rRNA from 1 species